CCGCGCUUCCCGAAGGAGGUUUGGGGUCGCCAUGGUUCAGAAGGUCAAGUUCAUCGUAUCUGUAAAGGUUUCACAAAUGGAACAGUAGUUAUGGGAGGAAGAUAUAUCGGUUCUCUAGCAUGGAUUGACCUUGGAUAACCAAACAGGCCUUCAUGAUGGCUAGGUUGAAAUAUAAGCAAUUGGAUCGCUUAAUGCUGAAGCAAAAAGAAAAGGCCUUAGGGCAACUAUGAAGAGCUCUUAGGAGUUAUACUCCUGAUAAUGGUAAAUCGUUGCAGGACAUCUGCAUGAGUGAAAUUCACGGAGCACAGAAGUACCAUCAGUGACAUUGGAUCAAGCAAUAAGGUGCUGACUGUGGAAUUACUAACUUAAGUACUGAUAGAAGAUGACUCUCCAGUAUUAAUUCGUCUAUUGAAAGAGAGACUGGAAAUGAAUGGACAGGACUGGCAUGAAUUUCACAGCAUAUUGAUUAAGUUGGCAAAUGUCCUGGAAUUGUUCUUCUGGCUGUCUUCGGUCACUAAAGCUUGAACUGACUGUUGACUUUGAAGGGUCUGAUCUAUUCACCUUCCAACAUGUGCAGUACUUGUGAGAGGAGUGCAGUGGUUGACACUUUUCUUCUUUUUUUACCCCAUCCCAGACUUAAGAAGCUACAGUCUCCAGAAGAGAUGGUUAAUUUCAAAUACUGGAAGAGGAAAAGAGGAAUGUAACUUCUGUGAUAUCUACAUAAUAAAGUGGUUCUUUAAA